AAAAAAUUACACUACGUCAACUGCCAGGUCAGCAGUCCCGACCAACCAGGACGCGCCACGUGGAAGAGAUACUGACUUGGGAGGCCAUGCGGAAGGGAGCUACGUAAGCGAUCCGCGUGCGCGCGAUUGAAUAGCUGAGAUCCAUUCCCGCGCGUACGGACGACCCAAAUAAAAAACGCGCACGGACGGCCCAGAUUGCACGCAUAUGGACGGACCAGAUUGAAUCGCGCACGGAU
rnacentral:lncRNA from 1 species